GACAUAGGUGGCAAACGUUAUCCGGAAUUACUGGGCGUAAAGCGCGUGUAGGCGGCAGCGUGUGUCGGGCGUGAAAUCCCAUGGCUCAACCAUGGAAGUGCACCCGAAACUGCGCAGCUAGAGUCCUGGAGAGGAAGGUGGAAUACUUGGUGUAGAGGUGAAAUUCGUAGAUAUCAAGUGGAACACCGGUGGCGAAGGCGGCCUUCUGGACAGUGACUGACGCUGAGACGCGAAAGCGUGGGGAGCAAACAGG
rnacentral:rRNA from 1 species